rnacentral:rRNA from 1 species
AGAGUUUGAUCCUGGCUCAGGAUGAACGCUAGCUACAGGCUUAACACAUGCAAGUCGAGGGGCAGCAUGUUGGUUGCUUGCAACCAAUGAUGGCGACCGGCGCACGGGUGAGUAACGCGUAUCCAACCUACCCUUGUCCAUCGGAUAACCCGUCGAAAGGCGGCCUAACACGAUAUGCGGUUCUCAGCAGGCAUCUAACGAGAACGAAAUGUGGAGGAGAAGGAUGGGGAUGCGUCUGAUUAGCUUGUUGGCGGGGUAACGGCCACCAAGGCUACGAUCAGUAGGGGUUCUGGAGAGGAACGGUCCCCCACAUUGGAACUGAGACACGGUCCAAACUCCGUACGGGAGGCA